AUCCUUUGGUUCAUAAGUGUGAUGAUUGGGUUUUCACGCUAUGUGUAAGGUGUGCCUCCCUCUAAACCUUGUUAUGGCAGUGGCACAUUACCCUCUGAUG